GAUGAACGCUGGCGGCGUGCCUAAUACAUGCAAGUCGAGCGAACGGACGAGAAGCUUGCUUCUCUGAUGUUAGCGGCGGACGGGUGAGUAACACGUGGAUAACCUACCUAUAAGACUGGGAUAACUUCGGGAAACCGGAGCUAAUACCGGAUAAUAUUUUGAACCGCAUGGUUCAAAAGUGAAAGACGGUCUUGCUGUCACUUAUCGAUGGAUCCGCGCUGCAUUAGCUAGUUGGUAAGGUAACGGCUUACGAAGUCAACGAUGCAUAGCCGACCUGAGAGGGUGAUCGCCCACACUGGAACUGAGACGCGGUCCAGACUCCUACGGGAGGCAGCAGUAGGGAAUCUUCCGCAAUGGGCGAAAGCCUGACGGAGCAACGCCGCGUGAGUGAUGAAGGUCUUCGGAUCGUAAAACUCUGUUAUUAGGGAAGAACAUAUGUGUAAGUAACUGUGCACAUAUUGACGGUACCUAAUCAGAAAGCCACGGCUAACUACGUG
rnacentral:rRNA from 1 species